rnacentral:lncRNA from 10 species
CACAGGGCUAUACUUCCAUCAUCUCCAUACUUGCUGGGAGAUUGAGUAAUUGGUGUCUGGAUGUGCGUGUGCUGCUUCCCAAAAUACCUCUUUAAAAAGACGUGAGAGGGAUGCGGAGCCAGUAGGGAUGGCAAAGCUCGCUAUCACGUGGAUCACCCAGACUCCCUCAUUUUACUGGUUCUUCACAGCACCCAGGAAGAUUUUAGAUGGACCUCAAAUACAAAGGCUGUGAGGAGCCCUAUUCGUUGUGUUGACACCACUGAGAGAUUAUUUUUUUCCCAGAGAAGAAAAAGGAGACACACCUGACUUUUAACCUCUUUGAUCCCUUAAAAAGUUAUUUUCCCAGCUGGGUGCAGUAGCUCCUGCCUGUAAUCCCAGCACUUUGGGAGGCCGAGGUGGGUGGAUCACCUGAGGUCGGGAGUUCAAGACCAGCCUGGUCAGCAUGGUGAAACCCCGUCUCUACUGAAAAUACAAAAAUUAGCUGGGCAUGGUGGUGCAUGCCCAUAAUCCCAGCUACUUGGAAGGCUGAGGCAGGAGAAUCACUUGAAUCACUUGAGCCCUGCAGGUGGAGGUUGCAGUGAGCCAAGAUUACACCAUUGCACUCCAGCCUGGGUGACAGAGCGAGACUUCAUCUCAAAAAAAAAAAAAAAAAAAAGAGAGAGAAAAAAAGUUAUUUCCCCUUGUGCCAAGAAUGAGAUGAAGCCUGGAGAACAGGGUAAAGCAUUGGCUUCCGUAUCUUUCAAAUUGUCCCGAGUGAUUCUGAUCCACAGUGAAAACUGAAAACUGUUCUAAUAUUCACCUUGCCGGAAAAGUAAGACUAUGUGAAGUGAACCCUCCUUCAAAUUGGAGAAGGAAGCUUUGAGAUUUCCAGGGAAGAUGGAAGACAGAACAGAAAUGACUGAUUUUGAAGAUUGAGAAUUAGGAAUAUUGUACAGAUGCUGUCAUUCCUACAUGAAGGAGGCAGAAGAAUGUAGCAAGCUCAGCUCUCUAAUGCCAGGAGUGGCACUUUCAGUGACCAGAGCUCCCUGGGUCCUCUGUGUAUCCCUCCCCUGUCAACUGAUUCAACAGAGGCUGGGCUGGUCCUGGCAUUAGCACAUUUUUGAAUCUGCCUUUGGCUGUGACUUCACCCAAAGACAGAAAGGGGAAGUUUCUGGUCUACAUAGCCAACAUGUGGUCUUGAUAAUAAAUCAUUGCUUGUUUGGAAGAAUUUGGUCUGAGCCUUACUUUUAUUGUAAAACACUACCUGUAGAUGGCAGAUGGGGCAUGGGACCUUUAGGCCUUAUCCAGCUCUAAACAUGGGAGGCUACCAAAGACUCUGACGUUUGGCAAAUGGCCAAAUUUGCAGAGAU